CUCAGUUAUAACUACAUAUACAUUAAGGCAGGAACCGGCAGGCCUCUGACUACAGAAACUAUAGGGCUCGUGCUUCUCAGCUGCCGGGUUAUAAUCUAUGAAACUGAGCCCUGAUCCAGCCAAUCAGUUCGCUCCUUAUAACAAGUCUAACUGGCUCUGGAAAGCUGAAAAGGCUGCACUGGAGCGGCAUAGAUGAUAUAUUCCACAUAAUAAUCUGCUUAUCUAGAAUCACUCUGCCUAGAAAGGCCAGAGAAAAUCGCAGCUUCAUUAUCUGAGGAAAGAAGGACAGGUGAUCUGGCAAAAACAUUUCUGAACCUGGAGCAAGAACGAUCCUCUGGCUUGGCAGUCCCAACAGUGCAGUGUGAAAGGAACUGAGCCUCCCCAGAAAUCCAAGGGCAGCCACAGCAGCAAAACCGGAGCUUUUGCAGGAUCACUUGUUAUUAAGUAUGAGUAGAGAGAAAGAAACUCGCAACUAACAUGAUCAUCUGCUGAGCAAAAUAGAUCAUUUUCCAGGACAGAUUUAAAGCUACCUUUCCGGAUGGGCAGCCUCACAGCCAGUCACAGAAACACAGUAAACGGGGCUGACAAGGAGUGAAGAAAAGGGCUACAGGAAAAAAAUCGCCUGCUUUCCACAUCUGAGAGAAAUCACUAUGCUCAGAGGGACUCUUAUUAGCUACGAAGACCAUUUCCUGUCGUCGCCAUCAAUUAAUAUGUUAGCUAUUGCAUCAGGCUCUAAGAAGCUUAUGAUUUCAAGAAUCAUCCACACAGCUGAGUUCCGUUGGAGCCCUUGAUCUCAACCCUCACAGACAAGAAUGAAGAUGAUCCUGGUAACAGAAAGCCACCUCAGGAAGUUUCCAACCAUGGAAAGAACCAAGUUCAUGAACCAAGGUAUCACUGAGCUCAUAAGAAUUCUGCAGUUUCAUUCUCUCUAUGAAAAAGAUCAAGUUACAAAGAAGCCUCCUCCACACUGAAGCAGAGAGCCAAAGAAAAAUGAUCUAACCACAGUCUGAAUCUGCUGGACAGUUAAUCACCUUCAAUAAGCUCCAAGCCUGGGCUGUAAUUGUUUCCACCAUCUUUUCCAACAGUUUGCAUCUUCUUUUUCAAUUUUAUUUGACAUUAAAUUCGAUGAAGUCACCCUUAUUUGAAAAUUAAAAUUCAUCAUCAUAAGAAGCUGAGGGAGGAUGCUUUUAAACAAGAAAGAUGCUAAACUCACAAUACCUAAGGAAUUCCUGUUUAUUGUUUAUUUUCUUAAUGCCACGUAGUAUUUGAAGACCAGGUUGCAAACAGAAGUGCUCCACCAAACCUGCUCUUCCUACACAAAAGUACAGUAUAAAAUGCUUUACCUGCUUGCUUGCAGAAGACAUGUUUUUGUCACAAAUAAAAAAUGUACACCAAAUUCAAAGACCUUAAUGGAAUUAAUACGAAUCUUACAUUUGCACAAGAGCAUGCUUGAUUUAGCAUUCUUUGGGAAGGGGCUGUUGGUAACUGGAAGGAAAGAAGGAGAAGAAGCACUCUCUAUAAGGUGGCUUAGAAAGGAGAGAUUGAAGCAGCCAGAACAAACUUCUAGGGUGGAUAAAAGACCAACCUUGUCACAAUAUUUCCAGAGGCCAAUCAUUAAUAGUUGCAAGAGCCACUAUAGAGCAUUAGCAUUAUUCAUAACUGUAUCAUUGGGACUCUUGCUCUCAUUUUGGCACCUUUAAGAACCUUCUACAAUUUGCAUGCUUGUUUCCAGCCAAGCAAAUUUAAUAAAGCCCAUUUUUCAUCCAUGUGACUUUGGGUUUAGGAAAAUUACAUCUAGAGGAAGCAUUCAUCUUACUGGUUGUCUUUUUCUCUACAG
rnacentral:lncRNA from 1 species